CAGUGAGUUUUAAAUAAAUAUUUAUCACUCCACAAUUAACAAAAAUUUCAAUAGAAUUGCUGAUACACAUCGUUGGAAAACCCACGCGAAACAUUUAAAUCGUUGUAACGGUUAUUUUGCCAGAAGCUGAAACUGAAACGGUCAAAAGGGUACUGAAAAAUGGGACGGCGAAAGAGCAAACGACAGGCCCCCCAAAAGAGAAAAGCUAUCGAGCCUAUGGAUAUACAGUUCACGUGCCCAUUUUGUAACCACGAGAAAUCGUGCGAAGUUAAAAUGGACAAAGGACGAAACACCGCAAGGAUUUCAUGUCGAGUUUGUUUAGAAGAUUAUCAGACGUCUGUCAAUGUGCUAUCAGAACCGAUCGAUGUAUACAACGACUGGAUCGACGCAUGCGAUGCUAUAAAUUAAACGAUUUAAACUUCAUGAUUUCGGACGAAGGAACCUCAUGUGCCUUUCUAUACGUUUGAAAUGGUCAUCGUCUAAAAAUACCGGGAGGCAAAACGAAAAGAUUGACUAACAUAAAAGCGUAAGAAUCGAGUUUCUAACUUAUAGUCGUGAACGAUG
rnacentral:misc_RNA from 1 species